UCCACAGUAGCUCAGUGGUAGAGCUAUCGACUGUUAACCGAUCGGUCGUAGGUUCGAGUCCUACCUGUGGAGCCA
rnacentral:tRNA from 1 species